rnacentral:rRNA from 1 species
AUUGAACGCUGGCGGCAUGCUUUACACAUGCAAGUCGAACGAGUGGCGAACGGGUGAGUAAUAUAUCGGAACGUACCGAGUAAUGGGGGAUAACCAAUCGAAAGAUUGGCUAAUACCGCAUAUUAUUCGAGCGGCCGAUAACUGAUUAGCUAGUUGGUGGGGUAAAGGCCUACCAAGGCGACGAUCAGUAGCGGGUCUGAGAGGACGAUCCGCCACACUGGGACUGGGAAACGGCCCAGACGCCUACGGGAGGCAGCAGUGGGGAAUUUUGGACAAUGGGGGAAACCCUGAUCCAGCCAUGCCGCGUGUAUGAAGAAGGCCUUCGGGUUGUAAACCUCUUUCGCUAUCGAGGGUAGGUGGAGAAGAAGCGCCGGCUAACUACGUGCCAGCAGCCGCGGUAAUAC